rnacentral:lncRNA from 1 species
AUGAUUUCAUUCUUCCCAAGGGAAGAAGGAGUGCUGCUGUCCACAUGGAGAAUAUGGCACGGCCUUAUUGAGAAUGAUGCCUCCGUAAGCAACACACAGAUCAGUAGCAUUUUACUCCUGAAAGUCACGAAACAUACCCAAUAUUCGUUCAUCAUGGAACUUCGAAUUUCCUUCCGUUGGCCACAAUCACAUGUUAGUAUGCUAACUGCUUGUCAAGAUUUGAAGCAGCAGCUUUGUCAGAUGAAAAGUGACAACAGCACCUUGGUUCAUUUUAAUGGCGUGGUGUGCAACCUGGCCUGGAUUCGAGAACUGCUGGCGCCUCCCGUAAACAGGUUGACUUUGGGCACGUUGGCUAUUUCUUCAUGUUUGACACGGGCAUGGCAACUGUGCUUACCAUACUGGAUUAUUAUAAGGCUCAAGUGAAAUAACAAUAUGUGAAAGAACUGUGAAAAUCUCUCUGUUGAUCUUUUCUCCAACUGGAAAUAUGUUGAUGAAAUUAAUUCAAUGUAUGUGGGAUGGGUUAGAUAAAUAUAUUUAUGUUUCUCGUGGUUUUCAGAGAUUGGUUAGGUGUAGCAUAAAACAGCAGUUGGAACAGCAGUUUUAGAACUGUUCUUAGGGUAGACGGCAAUGAUAUUGUGUGUAUUUACAUAAUGCCUGCAGACCUCCCACCAGGGCUGAACAACUAAGUGUCUUUCAGUUAGGGAUAUCAGCUCAGAACUCAGUGUUUACACACAAUUAUUUAUGCAUGAACUGGGGCUCAUGCUCUCUCCAAAUAGGUAAUGGAAAUAAGCACCUUGAUUUUCCAUGAGAUUGAGCCCUUUAAAAUGCAAGCCUGAUACAGAUAUUCUGCCUACUGUAUGGCAGCAUUGGAGAUGAUUCUGUUAGUUAAUUUUCUAUUACUCAUAAUGUAUGGAUAUUCUGAACGAUUCCAUUAGAGUUUAAAUAACAGAAUUCAGCACAAAUUUAUUUUUACUGAGCAGAAGAAACAUAAUUUCUCUGGAACUGCAGCUGCUGUAGUUGGAGAUGAGGCUCUUACUAUCCCUUAGGGAGAUCACUGUCUCCGCCAGCUGACUUAGUUUUUAUACAGCCGACGAUUUAUUAGAUUGCUUUGCUCUUAAGUGUGAUAAUAGGCCUUAUGCUUAGCAAGGUUUAGAGACUUCCAGUGCAUUAAUAUUUUAUGGCAAUGACAGGCAAGACACAUUUUGUUUACCUAACAAGCCAAGCCAGGCCAGGGCUGAUGUGUAUUGGAGAUUAGCACUUUUAACUUGGGGGAAUCCUGCCAGUUAUAUAUUUAGGGCUUUGCAAUGGCUCUUGGAAUUGUAAUUCAAUCAGUCCUUUAUUUGGUACAAAGCUACUAUGUGCACACAGAUCAUCACAGCCUUAUAGUCUGGCCUUACUAGGAGGCAACUUGACUGUAAACUGA